AUGAUGAGAAGAAGAAAAACAAUUGAGAAAAGAGGAAAGCAGGCAACAGCAAAGUUAGGACAAAACUUUAUGAGGCAGCCACAGCAGAGGAAUGAUGCACAGACUUCAGUAGAGGGACGAGUGUAGCCAGUCAGGCUUGAUUGGAAAAGAAAAGAAAACUGAAAGACAGAGACAAAAAAAGUGAGAUAGAGACACAACAUCAGCAUAUGUGUCUGGAUACAAGGGAUAAACUUUAAAUAAAAUGUUUUAAAUUUGUUUUUUUUAUAUUUUAAAAAAGGUAAAUCUUUCUGAUUUAUUAAAAUAAAAAGUCACAUGGAUUUUUCUGGGCUAAGCCCCGGAUCUCCACUCACCCUAGAACCGCCCCUGCUUAGACACAUACGUUGACAUUGCAUGUGUUUGUGUUCCUUUUUCGAAAACGGCCUCUCACAUUGCGUGAACUGCUAUGGGGAUUAGUCUAUUUUAAAUCUGUAGGGUAGUUUAAUUGAUCCGAACUGAAUGAAUCUAAACGAGUCUUUUGAACAGAAUCUCAAAAUUUGAGUGAGAUUAAUAAAAUAAAUCCACACUAUUCGUGUUAGUGCUGUAUCUCGGGGUUUGCUGUAGUUUGGUACAAAAUCCACACUAUUCGUGUUAGUGCUGUAUCUCGGGGUUUGCUGUAGUUUGGUACAGACAUCCCAAGUCUCCCGGAAGUCCCGGGAGUCUCCCGCAUAUUGAUAGCGGCUCCCUGAUGCCCGCAAAUUAGUUAAAAUCUCCCGGAAUCUAGAGCGAGCGAGCAAGAGCGCGCAAAGAAGAGAACCGUGUAGCGCGCGCACGGCAGGGAGGGAGAGGGAGCGAGCGAGAGACAUGUGCUUGUGUGCGAGGUGCGAAGCGCAUGUAAGACAGAGAGCAUCCUGAUUGGCCUGUU
rnacentral:lncRNA from 1 species